GCCUAGUUAGCUUAGUUGGUAGUGCGUCUGCCUUGUAAGCGCUAGGCCGCGGGUUCGAUUCCCGCCCGCGGUG
rnacentral:tRNA from 1 species